rnacentral:rRNA from 1 species
UGGUGGAGUGAUUUGUCUGGUUAAUUCCGUUAACGAACGAGACCCCUGCCUGCUAAAUAGUUUGGCGAGUGAAUUUCACUGGCUUGAGCUUCUUAGAGGGACGUGCAUUCUAUUAGAUGCAGGAAGAUAGGGGCAAUAACA